rnacentral:rRNA from 1 species
UACGAAGGGGGCUAGCGUUGUUCGGAAUUACUGGGCGUAAAGCGCGCGCAGGCGGUCUUCCAAGUCAGUGGUGAAAGCCCGGAGCUCAACUCCGGAAAUGCCAUUGAAACUGUAAGACUUGAGGAUGAGAGAGGUGAGUGGAAUUCCCAGUGUAGAGGUGAAAUUCGUAGAUAUUGGGAAGAACACCGGUGGCGAAGGCGGCUCACUGGCUCAUAUCUGACGCUCAGGCGCGACAGCGUGGGGAUCAAACAGG